CAAAUAGAAAAAAUAUGUUUACCAAUUUCUAUGAAGUCAUUACCAUUCAUAUACCAUUCACCAGUUGUGGUUGUGAACGGGCAUUCUCCAAAAUAUCUAUUGUAAAAUCUAAACUACGGUCAACAAUAUCUCAAGAACGAUUAGAAUCACUUUUAUUUUUAAUUGUUAAGCAAAAAAUGACCAAAUCAGUUAAUUUCAAUGGCG